AGAUUUGUGGUCUAGUGGAAAGAAUAUCAGACUUGAAAUCUGGAGACUUGCAAUCAAAUCUU
rnacentral:tRNA from 1 species